rnacentral:rRNA from 1 species
AUUGAACGCUGGCGGCAGGCCUAACACAUGCAAGUCGAGCGGAUGAAGGGAGCUUGCUCCUGGAUUCAGCGGCGGACGGGUGAGUAAUGCCUAGGAAUCUGCCUGGUAGUGGGGGAUAACGUCCGGAAACGGGCGCUAAUACCGCAUACGUCCUGAGGGAGAAAGUGGGGGAUCUUCGGACCUCACGCUAUCAGAUGAGCCUAGGUCGGAUUAGCUAGUUGGUGGGGUAAAGGCCUACCAAGGCGACGAUCCGUAACUGGUCUGAGAGGAUGAUCAGUCACACUGGAACUGAGACGCGGUCCAGACUCCUACGGGAGGCAGCAGUGGGGAAUAGUGGACAAUAGGCGAAAGCCUGAUCCAGCCAUGCCGCGUGUGGGAAGAAGGUCUUCGGAGUGUAAAGCAUUUUAAGUUGGGAGGAAGGGCAGUAAGUUAAGACCUUGCUGUUUUGACGUGACCAACAGAAUAAGCACCGGCUAACUACGUG